GACGAACGCUGGCGGCGUGCUUAACACAUGCAAGUCGAACGGAAAGGCCCUGCUUUUGUGGGGUGCUCGAGUGGCGAACGUGUGAGUUACACGCGCGUAACCCGGCCCUGGCUUUGGGAUAACUUCAGGAAACUGGUGCUAAUACUGCAUAGGAGCUCCUGCUGCAUGGUGGGGGAUGGAAAGUUUCGGCGGUUGGGGAUGGACUCGCGGCUUAUCAGCUUGUUGGUGGGGUAGUGGCUUACCAAGGCUUUGACGGGUAGCCGGCCUGAGAGGGUGACCGGCCACAUUGGGACUGAGAUACGGCCCAGACUCCUACGGGAGGCAGCAGUGGGGAAUAUUGCACAAUGGGCGGAAGCCUGAUGCAGCAACGCCGCGUGCGGGAUGACGGCCUUCGGGUUGUAAACCGCUUUCGCCAGUGACGAAGCGUGAGUGACGGUAAUGGGUAAAGAAGCACCGGCUAACUACGUG
rnacentral:rRNA from 1 species